rnacentral:rRNA from 1 species
CCUACGGGUGGCAGCAGUGGGGAAUAUUGGUCAAUGGGCGCAAGCCUGACCCAGCCACGUCGCGUGAAGGAAGAAGGCUCUCGGGUUGUAAACCUCUUUUUAGAGGGAAGAGCAGAAGACGGUACCUCUUGAAUAAGCCACGGCUAAUUACGUGCCAGCAGCCGCCGUCAUACGUCGGUGGCAAUCGUUGUCCGGAUGUACUGGGUGUAAAGGGCGUGCAGCCGGGAAGACAAGUCAGAUGUGAAAUUCCGCGGCUCAACCGCGGAACUGCAUGUGACACUGUUUUUCUUGAGUACCGGAGAGGUAGUCGGAAUUCCUGGUGUAGCGGUGAAAUGCGUAGAUAUAAGGAAGAACACCGGUGGCGAAGGCGGAUGACUGGACGGCAACUGACGGUGAGGCGCGAAAGCGUGGGGAGCAAACAGGAGUAGAUACCCCAGUAGUC